CCCCAUCCAAUUGCGUUUGCUCUUUUGGCGAGUCACAGACUUGCUCUACGUGUGGCACGAGGUGACCGGCCUGCUGGCGCGCCAUCCUGAACACCCUGUGCCAGCAGGCCAGACUUGCUCUGCGU
rnacentral:lncRNA from 1 species